UGAUCAUGGUUGUGCUUUUGGUUG
rnacentral:siRNA from 1 species